GCGUCGGUGGUGCAACGGUUAGCAUACGUUCCUAAAAAGAGUGAGAUCUGUGUUCGAAUUCCGGCUGAGGCU